AGGAAGGAGAAGGAAAGAAGAAGAAAGCGGAGAGUGGGAGCAAAGGGAAGAGUAAAUACUGCAGUGCUACACGAUGUGCAGUUGAAUUCGAGGAUGUGGAGGGUCAACUUGGACACGUGUUCGAUCCCUGGUCUGGGAGGAUCCCACAUGCCGCGGAGCAGCUGGGGCCGUGCAACACAACUACUGAGCCUGCGCUCUAGAGCCCACGUGCCACAACUACUGAGCCCGCGUGCUGCAACUACUGAAGCCCAUGCGCCUAGAGCCUGUGCUCCACAACAAGA